GACAGAGGAUGCAAGCGUUAUCCGGAAUGAUUGGGCGUAAAGCGUCUGUAGGUGGCUUUUUAAGUCCGCCGUCAAAUCCCAGGGCUCAACCCUGGACAGGCGGUGGAAACUACCAAGCUGGAGUACGGUAGGGGCAGAGGGAAUUUCCGGUGGAGCGGUGAAAUGCGUAGAGAUCGGAAAGAACACCGAUGGCGAAGGCACUUUACUGGGCUAUUACUAACACUCAGAGACGAAAAGCUAGGGUAGCAAAUGGG
rnacentral:rRNA from 1 species